GUCGCAGUUCUGGAGACUAGAUGUCCAAGAUCAAGGUGUCAGUGGGUUUGGUUUCUUCUGAGGCCUCUCUCCUUGGCUUGUAGGUGGCCACAUUCUUGCUGGUCCUCACAUGGUCUGUGUGCUGUCUGCAUCCUAAUCUCUUCUUAUAAGGACACCAGUCAUACUGGAUUAGGGCUCACCCAUAUGAUCUCAUGUUACCUUAAUUAGCUUUGUAAAGGCCCUAUCUCCAAAUACAGUCACAUUCUGGGGUACUGGGGGUGAGGACUUCAACAUACGAAUUUGGGGAUGAUGCAGGGUGAUAAGGACAUCCGUGUGGCUAUGCAUAGCUAGAUGAGAGGCACAAGAAUCAGGCCAAAGAAGUCAGCAGGACUGGGAAUGCUAGGCCUCAGGUUAGCCUUCAGCCGCUGGAGAAAAAGCUGAGGAAUAAAAGGAAAACUUAAUCCCACUUAAAGGGGUGAAAGAGCAAGGAAGGCGAACCCUUUGGGGUUGUA
rnacentral:lncRNA from 1 species